rnacentral:rRNA from 1 species
UACAGAGGUCCCAAGCGUUGUUCGGAUUUAUUGGGCGUAAAGGGAGCGUAGGCGGCAGAGUAAGUCAGGUGUUAAAAUUCGAAGCUCAACUUCGAAGCGCAUUUGAUAUUGCCUUGCUAGAGGAGUGGAGAGGAGACAGGAAUUCACGGUGUAGCAGUGAAAUGCGUAGAUAUCGUGAGGAAGACCCAUGGCGAAAGCAUGUCUCUGGAAACUACCUGACGCUGAUGCUCGAAGGCCAGGGGAGCAAACGGG